rnacentral:rRNA from 1 species
UACAGAGGUCUCAAGCGUUGUUCGGAUUCAUUGGGCGUAAAGGGUGCGUAGGUGGCGCGCUAAGUCAGGUGUGAAAUUUCGGAGCUUAACUCCGAAACUGCAUUUGAUACUGCGGUGCUUGAGGACUGGAGAGGAGACUGGAAUUCAUGGUGUAGCAGUGAAAUGCGUAGAGAUCAUGAGGAAGACCAGUGGCGAAGGCGGGUCUCUGGCCCGAUACUGACGCUGAGGCACGAAAGCGUGGGGAGCGAACAGG